GGGAGUGAAUGAGUGCUGGUGUGCUCUCUGGUCUUCAAAACCAGUAUGAGGGGUUAGGAGCUUCUCGGGUGGGUUCGAUUCCCACGCAUUCCCGCCA
rnacentral:tRNA from 1 species